GCACGGAAGUGCUCGCACACAGGCACGUCGCCGCCGGAGCCGCUUCCUCUCUCUGUUUGCUGGUCUUACUCGUGCACUCACACCGCAGCGGGUCUGCCACGGCUUCUUCACUGUUUUCUUCCGUGUCUUUGAUAGCCUUGCUCCGUUUCCUUGCCUGUUUGCUGCUGCAUUGGAGUUUGGCUUCACUUGCGCUGCCGUUCACCAGUCGGCGUGUUCCGCUGAGCGUGCUGCCCUCCAUUUCGUCCUCCUGCUUGCAACGGUCUCUGGACGAGCUGCAGAGGUGGGUGAGGGUUGGCCUUCCGACGGCGGCUGCCACGGAGAUUGUGGUCCAGGCUGAGGUGGCGCUGUGUAGGGGGGUGAUCGACGCGUCGAUGGCAGACGGCCUGCCCUCUGCGUGCCCAUGCACUGCGAAGCGACGGACCGCAAGCAUCAGCGCUGUUUCUACUUCCUCAGUGGAGAGUCGCCACGGCGUUCGCAGCGACGCUGGCACGUCUUCGCCGGAGUCGGCAUGGGGCACUCGGAGAGACGGGGUGCUCGCGCACGAGCCGCCGACGGUGGUGACAUGGCGCUGUAGUGACCCGGAUCCGCUCAAUCGUGCCGCUGCUCCGGUCUUCGGCACCUCGGAGAAUAGGAUCUUUAGCGCUUAUGAAGGCCGCUGGCAGGAGGCAGAGGCUCUACCUGCAUCUUUGCCAGUGCUGGAGGGUGCCGCGACCGUUGCUGGUGCUGCCAGAGAGCAGUCUCCCACAACGCCAGCAGCGUCCUCCGCCCAAGGGCCUUCUCCGUUUUCUCUCACGGUCUGUGGGCCGACAGCUGUGACAGCAGCUUCACUGACGGUAACGGCAGUGAGCCGAGUGCCAAAGCAAGUACAAGAGGUCGCCGCAGUUUCCGAGGACGAGCCAACGCUCAGUGCGAGCGGAUCGUUAAAGCCAAGCCGCUCUUACAGCAGAGGCAGGGGCAGCGCCACGCAGCUUUAUCAAUGUGAAGCAGUCGGAAGCUCCCAAGGCGUCCACAGCCCAUCUGCCGGUGGUGAUGCAGCCGUUCUUGCCACGCCCCACGGACAGGGCCGUGCCACUGCUCAGCCGCCGCUGGCAAUGUCACCGCCUGCGCUGGCGUUCCGCGCGAACGCAGAGCACAUGAACACGGUGGGGUUUCCAACUCCGUCGCCGGUGGCGCGCAAGGCAGUGGCUGCCACCGCAGCCAAGUUGUCUUAUGCCGCUCGCUCCUCGGCGUCCCUGUCGUAUAAUCUCUCUCGCCUUCUUCGCCUGUGCUUCCUGCGACGAUGGUGCUGGCGGGCGUGGCGCGUGAGCGACAGCGGACUGCUCGACAGUCAUUUUCGACGUACCAGCAGCAGCGGUCGCGGCGGUGGCAUGACGGACAAUUGCUUUGACGGUGACACCGAUGGCGACGGCAGCUCACAUCGGCCACGCUCUACUAAGGCAGAGCCCCGCUACAGUGUUGGCCGUCUCGGUGACUGUGACGAUGACGACUACUACAAGGGCAGAUCAGUCAGUGCUCUUUCACGGUUGUUGAUGACUCUGUGGGGUCGCUCAUGUAGCGCACCAACGCAGGAGGGAGGCGGCGGUCGUGCCCCCACCACCACUGCUGCUGCCACUCGCCGCCGGCGUCGCGGCAUGGUGACGGCAAGAACGCUUCUCAGUGAUGGCGCUCGCAUUUGCAUUACUUUUUUUCUUUGCUGUUGCUGCUGCCCGUUUACGAAGAAGCUGCUCGGCGAGACUACGCGGCGCCGCAACACCGUUAUUGUGGCCACCGAGAACACCACCGAAAAUGCGAUGUUUGUCCUCCGCCGCGCGUGGGAACGACACCGCGGCCUUCUCGUUACCUUCGCCAUCGCAUGUGCUUUUUUCCUGUGGUGGGUUGGUUUACCGCUCGCCCAGGCUGCCGUUGUGUGUCUGUUGGAGAGUGAAGAGUUGUUUAUCGCGCGGAUGCAGUAUGUUGGGCUGCCAGUCGCGCUUCAUCCACCGACGCACACAAUGGCGGUGCUGCUGCAGCAACCGACCGUGCCACCAACAUUGGUGUCGCUGCGCCGGGUCUCAGUGCUGCCUCGCAACGGUGGCAGUGGGGGGGCUGCUGAAGCGGACCCCGCUGAGGUUGAGGGCAUGUCUAAGUCCGUGCUGCGGCAACUCUUUGACCGCUACCGCACGCGCAGUGCCGCAUUAGCCAUGGAGGGGCUGCGCUUGUCAUACGCGCAACGACAUCCGCGCCUCUUCUUCCUUUCCUCUCGCACUCUGACGGCGUCCCAAGUGCCGUCGUGGACGUUGCACGUGGUGGAGGAUGGCUGCACCGAGUGUCUGCAAGGUCAAGGGUAUGCGGAGGCGGUGAAAGGGAUGGCCGUUGAACUCGACCAAACCUCACCACGCACCGCAGGAGACGAUAAUGUCUCGCGCGCGGCACCGUCGCAGGUCCAGGGAGCGGUGUUUGCCACGUCGAAUGCGCCACUGGGCCGCAUCGGGCCGAUGCUGUUGGCGAUGGCGAGCGUGACGGACGACGUGGAGGUGGCUGCGGAGCUGCGCAAGUGGCGCUGGCUCGCGCCGGUGAGGGCCAGCGAGGCUGGCAAGGACUCGCCUCGUGCGCCACGCGGCUCAUCCAAGUGCGCGUCCUCCACGCCGUAUCUGGCGGUGCUCGGCAUCCCCUCCACCGAUCAACCAGCGCGCGUUGCCUUGCGUGAGGCGCAGCGUCAGACUUGGUUCAAGUACCAUGAGGUCGCACGCACCGAGACUGGUUUUGACGGGGCGCUGCUGCCAUUGUACAUCUUCGGGGCUGUAGAGUGGCCUGCUCUGACUCGGCAGCCUACGGGUGCUCCGGUGGCGCCGAGCUCCCGCGACGACGGCGAGAGGUCCGUCCGCGGAGGAGGCAAGGCCGCUGGAAAGCCUGCGCACCUUGAUGCCGCUUAUGUGAGUAUCGACAGCCAGCGCCUCAGCGCCAACCCCUCACUACUCCUGCCACACAUCCACGACCUCGCCGCCGCGGUGGAGCUUCGGACGGCAACCCUCGCUGCAGCAGCCGGAGCUACCAUCACCGCCGACCAAGACGCUCCGCUGCUGGAGAUGCCUACCGUCACGCAGCGAAGGCGCCGAAUGACACUGCGGCCUUCUUGGCGGAAUGAGCGCUCCACUGACUCGCCCUGCGACGCCAUCGUGGACCAAACCGUAAGGAUGACGGUAGCGUCGGCGACUCCGCCGUCGCUACCGCUUCUGCAGGUGGCGCAGCGCCUUUCCUUACCUGUCGCGCCUCUUGUCACGGCCCCCGCGCGCCUUGUCUGCUACGCAUCGUCGGCCCUCUGGCAGGAGGCGCUGGAGCGUCGGGAUAGCCUCUGGAUCGACAUGCUGACGGAUCGGCGUCCUGCCACCGGCAAGACCGUCGGCGGGGAGGGCAAGUGGGGGCUGAGAGUGGAGGUGGGCAUGAGCCAAAAGCUGAUCCUGUGGCUAAUGUACGCCUACUGUACGUUCCCGGAAGUGCCGUUUAUUAUGAAGGGCGACGAUGAUACGUAUAUUAAGGUGCCGCAGUACCUGAGCGACAUCCGCUACCUGUGGCGUGGCCGCAAGACACGCGUGCCACCGCCGCACGACGUUGAUACGGAGCACGGCACCGUCGAGAACGCACAGCUCACCAAGUCUACAGAGGAGUGUGUGUACUGGGGCAGCAUGCGGCGCUGGAACGGCGAGGUGUACUUCAGUGCCGGCAUGCUCUUGCUGCUCCACCGUCGCCUUGUCCAGGCCGUCGUGGAGGUACGCACGGAGUUCAACAACGAUGUGCUGUACCUCGCCGCGGCUGACUACAGCGCCGCGUACGCCCAUUCCUACUACGCGAGCAUGAUGGACCACGAGGACGUGAUGCUGGGCAAGUUGCUGAUGGAGCGACGCUUCCGAGCUGAUCGGCUGUGCCCGUUUCGGCGCCACUGGUACGUUUGGGAGGACCUGCAGCGCUUUCACGAUCUGCACCGUGGCCGCGUGCGCAACGUGACGUGGGCGUCUGUCGCUCUGCACCGGUGCCGCCCUGCGGAUGCGUAUUACCUGCACUACUUCUUUGCCCAGGAGUACCGCUACAGCGGCAGCAGGGGAGCGGCUGAAAGAUCUGCCCAGGGAGGCCAGGAAGGCGAUGCAAUACUAUGCAACGAGCGUGCGGAGCGCGCGGCACGUCAGGCUGCGCAGAGUUGGGUGGCCGACCGCUUGCGACCGGUGUUGCAGGCAGGCGGCAACGUUGCGGAGGGUGCCGCACGCAAGCUUGAUGCUGCGGCUCUUACAGCAGCGGAGGAGGAGGCUGGAUGGUCCAGUCUUCCCGACGUUCUCUGGGCGGUGCAGAGGGACCGCAGUGUGCACACGCCGCCUUACCUCUCCGACCGUGACGGGGUGGCCAUCGACGAUGUCGAGUACGUGCCGUUCAGCGACGGCGUUCUCGUGUUGAAUGGGCUGAAGGCACGCAUUCUUUCAUGACUACGCAGCCAGGAGAGAGAGGGUGUGCCGCGACCGCCCGAGGAUGCCCGGCGAACACUCCCCUCCCCAGGUGCAUUGCGCCGAUUCGCAUGCGCUGCUCUCGCCAUCACGUAUCGCCAGCUGCCAUUACGACAGAUAAAUUUGUAUUCGCGUAUGUUUGUGCGCCCAUGCGUGCGCGUGCAGACACGCCAUUUUGUGUCAGCAUCUCUUUCCAUGUUGAGGCCCAGACAAAGAAGAAGAGGACACACGCGAAUGUCAUCGCAUACGUCUUCCCCUCCCCUUUUUGCCCCGCGUUCUCUUCGGCCUGCAGCGAUCUGUGUAGAUAACCACCCUUCCCUUCUCUCAUCCGAAGUCUGCCCUUGAUUCCCCUGUCCAUCGCUCCGCCAGCGACCAUGCAGAGGCACGGACGCUCGCGUACGGCCACGCGCGCACCGGUCACCGGCGGAGCCACUCGCAGUGGGGCAAAAGGGAGCGUAGAAGUGCGGAUGGUGACGGGGCGCGGCCGCGACACCAUCGCUCUCGCCCCUCCCACCCUCACCUUUCUGUCUCCCUCACGUGCAUAGGUUAGUCCCAUAUCUUGUCGCCCGCGUUACCUUGUCCAUCUCGUCUUUGUCUGUGUGUCGUUUUCUUUUGGUUGUUCUUGCAUGCUGCGCCCCUCCGCUCUUCCCACAAUUCCUUCACUCCCUCCCUCCACUGAG
rnacentral:misc_RNA from 1 species